UACGGAGGGUGCAAGCGUUGUCCGGAAUCACUGGGCGUAAAGGGCGCGUAGGCGGCUUGCACAGUCAGGCGUGAAAUUCCUGGGCUCAACCUGGGGACUGCGCUUGAGACGUGUGGGCUUGAGUGGGGAAGAGGGUCGUGGAAUUCCGGGUGGAGCGGUGAAAUGCGUAGAGAUCCGGAGGAACACCAACGGCGUAGGCAGCGCCCUAGACGAGACCUGACGCUCAGGUGCGAAAGCCAGGGGAGCGAACGGG
rnacentral:rRNA from 1 species